UAGGGAAUAUUGCGCAAUGGGGGAAACCCUGACGCAGCGACGCCGCGUGAGUGAUGAAGGCCUUCGGGUUGUAAAGCUCUGUCGUAUGGGAAUAAGAUCUGAAUGUACCAUGCAAGAAAGGACCGGCUAACUUCGUGCCAGCAGCCGCGGUAAGACGAGGGGUCCUAGCGUUGUUCGGAAUCAUUGGGCGUAAAGCGGGUGCAGGUGGCUUAACAAGUCAGGUGUGAAAUCCCUUGGCUUAACCUUGGAAGUGCAUUUGAUACUGUUGAGCUUGAGUGUUCGAGAGGAUAGCGGAAUUCCUGGUGUAGUGGUGAAAUACGUAGAUAUCAGGAGGAACACCGGUGGCGAAGGCGGCUAUCUGGCGAAACACUGACACUCAGACCCGAAAGCGUGGGGAGCAAACAGG
rnacentral:rRNA from 1 species